rnacentral:rRNA from 1 species
CACCGCCGGCUCGAGUGGUGGCCACUUUUAUUGGGUCUAAAACGUCCGUAGCCGGCUUGGCAAGUCCCCUGGGAAAUCUGGCGGCUUAACCGUCAGGCGUCCAGAGGAUACUGCCAGGCUUGGGACCGGGAGAGGUGAGAGGUACCUCAGGGGUAGGGGUGAAAUCUUGUGAUCCCUGAGGGACCACCAGUGGCGAAGGCGUCUCACUAGAACGGGUCCGACGGUCAGGGACGAAAGCUGGGGGCACGAACCGG